UACGGAGGAUCCAAGCGUUAUCCGGAAUCAUUGGGUUUAAAGGGUCCGUAGGCGGUUUGGUAAGUCAGUGGUGAAAGCCCAUCGCUCAACGGUGGAACGGCCAUUGAUACUGCCAGACUUGAAUUAUUAGGAAGUAACUAGAAUAUGGUAGUGUAGCGGUGAAAUGCUUAGAGAUUACAUGGAAUACCAAUUGCGUAAGGCAGGU
rnacentral:rRNA from 1 species